CCGAAGUUUCCCUCAGGAUAGCUGGCAUUCAUUCAAUUUUAAACGAGUCUCAUGCGGUAAAGCGAAUGAUUAGAGGCCUUGGGGCCGAAACGACCUCAACCUAUUCUCAAACUUUAAAUGG
rnacentral:rRNA from 1 species